rnacentral:ncRNA from 1 species
CCCUACCUUUAAAUGUCGUACGGACGCCGAAAAAGCUCACUAAUAUUAGUAAUUACUAUCGGUCGACACGCGCGUUCCUGUCUCGGUAACGAGAGAAAGACAGAGUGAGGUAGCUCAGGGUUUGGCAACAAGCUCUAAGGAG